rnacentral:rRNA from 1 species
AGAUUAGCCAUGCAUGUCUAAGUAUAAACUACUUUAUACAGUGAAACUGCGAUGGCUCAUUAAAUCAGUUAUAGUUUAUUUGAUAUUAACUUACUACUUGGAUAACCGUGGUAAUUCUGCAGCUAAUACAUGCGUUAAACCCCGACUUCUGGAAGGGGCGUACUUAUUAGAUUUAAGCCAACCCUAGCAAUAGGAUUAAGGUUGAUUCAUGAUAAUUUUUCGAAUCGUAUGACUUUGUGUCGACGAUGGUUCAUUCAAAUUUCUGCCCUAUCAACUUUCGAUUGUAGUGUAUUGGACUACAAUGGUUUCAACGGGUAACGGAGAAUUAGGGUUCGAUUCCGGAGAGGGAGCCUGAGAAACGGCUACCACAUCCAAGGAAGGCAGCAGGCGCGCAAAUUACCCAAUCCUGAUACAGGGAGGUAGUGACAAUAAAUAACAAUACAGAACUUUCGAGUUUUGUAAUUGGAAUGAGAACAAUUUAAAUCCCUUAACGAGGAACAAUUGGAGGGCAAGUCUGGUGCCAGCAGCCGCGGUAAUUCCAGCUCCAAUAGCGUAUAUUCAAGUUGUUGCAGUUAAAAAGCUCGUAGUUGAAUUUUGGCGCUGGUCGUGUGGUUUGGACUAACGUUCAACACUGCAGGACUGGGGCUUUCCUUCUAGGGAACUAGUGUGCCAUUAACUUGGUGGGCUAGGGAUCUAGGACUGUUACUUUGAAAAAAUUAGAGUGUUUAAAACAGGCUUAUGCUUGAAUACAUUAGCAUGGAAUAACGGAAUAGGACUUUGUCUUAUUUUGUUGGUUUAGGAGACAAAGUAAUGAUUAAUAGGGACGGUUAGGGGCAUUAGUAUUC